UACGAAGGGUGCAAGCGUUGUUCGGAUUUAUUGGGCGUAAAGGGCGCGUAGGCGGACUUUUAAGUCAGGUGUGAAAUCUCGGGGCUUAACCUCGAAACUGCGCCUGAAACUGGAAGUCUAGAAUCUCAGAGAGGAAUGGGGAAUUUCGCAUGUAGGAGUAAAAUCCGUAGAGAUGCGAAGGAACACCCGAGGCGAAGGCGCCAUUCUGGAUGAGUAUUGACGCUGAGGCGCGAAAGCGUGGGGAGCAAACAGG
rnacentral:rRNA from 1 species